rnacentral:rRNA from 1 species
CCUACGGGAGGCAGCAGUGGGGAAUUUUGGACAAUGGGGGCAACCCUGAUCCAGCAAUGCCGCGUGUGUGAAGAAGGCCUUCGGGUUGUAAAGCACUUUUGUCAGGAACGAAACGGUGGGGGCUAAUACCUCCUGCUAAUGACGGUACCUGAAGAAUAAGCACCGGCUAACUACGUGCCAGCAGCCGCGGUAAUACGUAGGGUGCAAGCGUUAAUCGGAAUUACUGGGCGUAAAGCGUGCGCAGGCGGUUGUGCAAGACAGAUGUGAAAUCCCCGGGCUUAACCUGGGAAUUGCAUUUGUGACUGCACGGCUAGAGUGUGUCAGAGGGGGGUAGAAUUCCACGUGUAGCAGUGAAAUGCGUAGAUAUGUGGAGGAAUACCGAUGGCGAAGGCAGCCCCCUGGGAUAACACUGACGCUCAGGCACGAAAGCGUGGGGAGCAAACAGGAUUAGAUACCCUGGUAGUCCACGCCCUAAACGAUGUCUACUAGUUGUCGGGUCUUAAUUGACUUGGUAACGCAGCUAACGCGUGAAGUAGACCGCCUGGGGAGUACGGUCGCAAGAUUAAAACUCAAAGGAAUUGACGG